rnacentral:lncRNA from 1 species
GAUGCAGUGAAAAUCGUAUGAUUAGAUUCUAUAAUGAGCAUUCCUCCAAAAGGACCAUCCUUCUUGUUCUUCAAGGUGGUCAGGUACUGAGGAUAGUUCUAUUUUCAAUGGCCGUCUGAAUUGCAGUGAAAAUAUUUUCUCUUUUUCAGUAGCCUUCUUCUUUGAUUCCGUCUUCUUUUUCUUCCCAUCAACUUUCUGCUUCUUCGCAGACUUCUUCUUCUUUCUAAAAAACUUUCUCUUGGA